GGCCAGUGACGGAUAAUCAAAUGAAUUGCAACACUUAAGAGAUGGUCUUUGAAUCAGAAAACUAUGCAUAAACAUCCUAAUUAUAAUGAUGCUAACACGGUAUUUUUCCGUACAAGACAGUGAAUAACACCCCACCACCUUUGACCACCAACACGGCAUUCCAGUUGGCUGUUCCUCCAGUCAGUCUCUCUCCCGGAAAGCGUGGUCAAAGUCCUGCCUCUGGUAUCAGGUGUCGACGCUCUCGUUGGCUCUUCCCUUGGCAGUCAGCGCGUCGCCAUGGCUGUGCGCUGGGAAGCUGGAAGUGAUCGGUUGGUGUUUUCGAAGCAGAAAUAAGCAGCUUGUGGACAAUCGACGCUCCCCAACAACAUUGCGAUGAUUGGAUUCACCCUGUUUUGGAUUUUACUUCAUUUAUUACCUUAGUUUUGUAUUCGUAUUAUACACACACACACAUUUUUUUAAAUUUGUAUUUAAUUGUAUUUUAAAUGAAAAUAAAACCGUAGUUGUAUAUUCGUUUCUUUGCGAAAGACACAAAGGCGGCAGCUGCUUUUGUUUUAGUUUUUUUUUUUUUUUUUUUUUUUUAGUUUUUGUUUGUUUUUAGUCUUUAGCAAACUCAACAUGAAGGUUACAGUGGCUUUUGAGGAAUGUCUCAAAGAUUCGCCCAGAUUCAGGGCAGCAAUCGAGGAGGUAGAGGGAGAUGUAUCCGAACUGGAAUCCAAGCUUGAUAAGCUGGUAAAGCUUUGUAUUGGAAUGAUCGAUGCUGGCAAGGUGUACAAUACAGCCAACAAACAGUUUGUGAAUGGAGUCCGAGAACUUGCCCAGCAGUCUGCCAAAGACGAGGUCAUUGAGACCAGCUUGACGAAAUUUGCUGAAAGCCUGCAGGAGAUGAUCAAUUAUCAUACAAUCCUGUUUGACCAAGCCCAGAGAUCCAUCAAGUCACAGCUUAUGACGUUUGUGAAAGAAGAUCUGCGCAAGUUCAAGGAUGCGAAGAAGCAGUUUGACAAGGUCAGCGAGGAGAAGGAGACCGCGCUGGUGAAGAACGCACAGGUGGCUCGCAACAAGCAGCACGAGGUGGAGGAGGCCACUAACAUCCUGACCGCAACCAGGAAGUGUUUCAGACACAUCGCUCUGGACUACGUGCUGCAGAUUAAUGUCCUACAGUCCAAAAGGAGAUCUGAAAUUUUAAAAUCGAUGCUCUCCUUCAUGUACGCCCACCUCACCUUUUUCCAUCAGGGCUAUGACUUGUUCAGAGACCUGCAGCCGCUUAUGAAACAGCUCGGAGGGCAGCUGGACCAGCUGGUGGUAGAUGCAGCAAAGGAGAAGCGCGAUAUGGAACAGAAGCACUCCACCAUCCAGCAAAAGGUGACUGCGUCUGAUACAGUGCCAGAUGCCAGAUGCUUUUGUGCUUGGAGGUCAACAGGUGACUUCUCGAAUGACGACACCAAGCUGGAGUACAAUGUGGACGCCGACAAUGGAAUCGCCAUGGAGGGGUAUCUUUUCAAAAGGGCCAGCAAUGCCUUCAAAACAUGGAACAGGCGCUGGUUCUCUAUUCAAAACAACCAGCUAGUAUACCAGAAGAAGUUUAAGGAUAACCCCACUGUAGUGGUGGAGGACCUGAGGCUGUGCACAGUGAAACACUGUGAGGACAUUGAGCGCCGCUUCUGUUUCGAGGUCGUCUCUCCUACAAAGAGCUGCAUGAUGCAGGCAGACUCUGAAAAGCUGCGGCAGGCGUGGAUUAAGGCUGUACAAAACAGCAUCGCUACAGCAUUCAGGGAGCAGGGUGAAAGCUCUGAGAAGCUGGACAGGAAGUGUUCCACGUCUACAGGCAGCCUUGAUUCUGGCAGCGAGUUGAAGGAGAAGUCUCUGAAAGGGGAGAGCGCGCUGCAGCGGGUCGAGUGCAUCGCCGGCAAUGCCAGCUGCUGUGACUGUGGGAUGGCUGAACCUCGCUGGGCCAGCAUCAACCUGGGGAUCACACUGUGCAUCGAGUGCUCAGGAAUACACAGGAGUCUCGGGGUCCACUUGUCCAAAGUCCGGUCUCUUACCUUAGACUCUUGGGAGCCUGAACUGCUAAAGGUCAUGUGCGAGUUGGGGAACAGUGUUAUAAACAGGAUAUAUGAGGCUAAUUUGGAAGAGCUGGGUGCCAAGAAGCCACAGCCCGGAGAUCCCAGGCAGGAGAUUGAAGCUUACAUCAGAGCAAAGUAUGUGGAGAAAAGGUUUGUCCGGAAACCAACAGCAGCAGAGCAGAGAACGAAGGUUGUAUCUCUGAGCAGGCAGGAGAAACGGCUGAGUAGCAGCAGCUCGGAGUACCUGCCACCUCGCCCCCCUCCACCCACUCCCAAAAUGAGACCUGCGUCCCACAUCUCAGCGGCUGCAGCUUGUAGCGACGAGGCCCGCCGGGAGUCUCUCUUCUGUCCCGAUGAGCUAGACUCGCUCUUCUCCUACUUUGACACCUCUUCCAAGCUGCGUAGUAAAAAGAGUGCGGACAGCGGGAUCCAGAACAGUGCUGAUGGAAGCAAGGAGAUGCUGGCCACUACCCUGUCUGCAAACAGCUUGAGUGAACCCGACGUUCCAGAGCCUGCAGUUCCAGAGCCUGCAGUUCCAGAGGCUGGGAAGAACUCUGCAGGGCUGGUGGAGUUUAAGGAAUGCUCUCCGGGACUCCAGCUGUACUGGGCUGCGUUCGCACGCAACCUCCCGGACAUGGCCGAGGCGUUGGCACAGGGAGCCGAGGUGAACUGGGUGAACACAGAGGCCGACAAGCAAACCCCCUUAAUACAGGCCGUCCAGGGGGGUUCGCUGGUUGCCUGCGAGUUUUUGCUUCAGAAUGGUGCUAAUGUGAAUAAUCAUGACGUGCGCGGGAGAGGACCUCUGCAUCACGCCACCAUCCUUGGACACACUGGGCAGGUGUGUCUGUUCUUGAAAAGAGGGGCCAGUCAGAAUGCGGCUGAUAGUGACAAUAAAACCCCUCUUUCAAUAGCUGUGGAUGCUGCCAAUGCAGACAUUGUAACAUUGUUACGCCUGGCGAAGAUGAAUGAUGAGAUGCGGGAAUCGGAGGGGCUCUAUGGACAGCCAGGUCAUUAUACCACUAACAGCCACACUGAAAUGCAAUACAAGAAAUGUAUACAGGAGUUCAUAAGCCUGCAGCUGGAGGAGUCAUAGCCUUAGUAUUUAUUUAGGGAUCUGUAGCAUUUUCUAGUGGUACUGUGGUUAGAUAAGAUUACAGCCAGAUUUAUAUACAUUUUACACAUGUAUACAUACAUACAUACAUACAUACAUAAAGUACAUACACACAUACAUACGUGAAUGAGUGUGUGUGUGUGUGUGCCUAUAGUGCUACCAAACUAUCUCUAGGUCGUUCUUCCCAAAACUAUCCAAAGUAUUGAAAAGUAAAUGAGUAUUCAACAAUUGUGUUCAGACUCUGCAGUCUGUGGAAAACUAUCUGGCAGUACAGAGUUCUGGACGUAACGAGGCUAAAUCUUUUUAGUAAUGCUACAUUCAAGUAUAAUGCCUUACAUUUAUUCCAUUAACGGUUAAUGUGCAGCAACAUGAAAAAAUUAUUAGUAAAUAGUUUACAUCACUCAUAGAAUCACAAGUAUAAAACAUGCAGCUUUUAUGGCAAGGUGGUUAAAAAUGCAGACUUUGAUAAGAUACAAUUCUGCAUGGAAAAGGGAACAAAGGUCUCAUUUGUUUGCCAACAUUAAUAAUUAAGAAAAACAAAAUAAAUAAAUAUGCCAAAUAUCAAUAUAGCAGGCAUAAUACGAUAUGUAUACAUGUGUUCAAAAUGCAGCGCUGGCUUAAAAAAAAAUAAAGGUAUUAUAUCCCAAAUAUCAGGUAAUAUGCAAGUCUUUUCUUCCUAGCUGUCAGCCGUGUAUUCUAGAAGAAAAGGCUCCUGUACAGUAUUGUAAAUGGGUUUGAUUUCGAAACACACUUUGCACAAAGCUGGGUGCUUGUGUUGAAUAGGAGCUGCUGGGCUAAGAGCCGACGCGUCGGUAUACAUCUGCACAGUGAACCGAGGGGCACCUCUCUCGCUACAAGCUUCACUGCAGGGAAGUGUUCCUGCCACUCUAAAGCAAUGCAAACUGAUCAGCGAAUUAAAGCCAAUAUACUCCUAAUUGUCGUUUUUCUAGUGUUUUAAACAUUCCAAAAUCAUUUUGUUUUGUAUUUUUGAAGUCUGAAAGCAAACAGCAGAAGCAGAAUUUCAAUAAAUAUGGAAAAUUAUACUUGUGGUGCUCCCUCCCCCCAAUGGGAUUUCUCACACGUAAUGCUUAGACAUUACAGUAUUCCUGCCUGCCGCACGAUAUUCUAUCAGUGUGUACUGUGCAAUAUACAAAUAGAUGGUGUAUACUUUAUUAUACUGUAUGGUCACCUCAUUCCUCAUAGAAUAGCAGCUGCCCAUCAACUAUGCAUGUUAAAGGGAGAAACUGCCUGAUUCCAACUGGAGCUUCUUGAGUUUGUUAGGAUGUUAUUAAGUGCUACUCUGUAUACAGUAUUCUUCACGGCACCCCAAAUCUCACUGCUGUUAAUAGGGUUUGAGGUCCAGUGAAUGUCCAGUUAAGUGGAUAUCACAUAACUUUGAAACAGAUCUCUUCUCACAGAACUGUGAAAUUUAACAAUGCCCUGAAUGUUGAGAACUGGUUUAUAGUUUAUCCUUCUACAAGUGUGGUCAGCUGUCAUGGGAAGGGGGGUGGGGGUGUUCUGUGGAUAACAAUAAUAGGUGUAGAUUAGAUCAGUGGUCUGGAAUACCUCAUGUUUGGUAAACAUUAACUAAGCCUGCCAUAUGAACUCAUCUCUAACUGCAGGUAAAUAUAAUCCACUUCUACUAAGCUUUUUAUAUACAAGUCGCAACCAAGUGUUCAAGUUUUCUUUUUGUUUUAAUAUAUAAAAUCUGGUAUGAUCUGGAAUGUAUAAAUGAGUGAAAUCCGGAACCAUUUUUAGCCAUUAGAAAAUAAAAGAAAAGGCGCUAUAUAGAUUUUACAACCUGUACCAGGAAUCUGUUCACAUGAGAAGAAUUAUUCACUACAACAGUAAGCAGUGUGCAUGCCUGCACACUGAGACACAGACUGAGUUACAGAUUGGGCUUCAAGUGCGUUCUGGGGCUUUGUAGUUUAAAACGUAAUACUACAGUACUUUUAAUAGUUUAGAAACGUUUUGUGCUUUAAUUGGUUUAAUUGAAAUCCAACUGAUUUCCUCCAGACCUGCCUCUCCCAGUAGAUUUUACUACUGCUUUUAAAAGGGAAAGUGAAUUAAAGUGAGAAGGAUGUGCUCUUUUACUGUAUGUCCAGAGCAGGUUAUCUGUCCAAAUGUUUUAUAACAUCCGUACUGCAUCUGCUCUGUUUGUUCACUGUCACUUCUCAUGGUUUCUUUUCUAUUCUCUCAAGUUUGUGCCUUUUCUGUUCUCUGACUGGUUGCCGAGGCCAAUGUAACUGUAAUUUUGUACAUAAAUCCUGCACUUUAAAUACAACAUGGUUGUUAAAGAUAAAAAUAAUAAUAAAAAUAAAAAUCCCAUUUUUGUUGAGAGAAUAAAAAUACAUAAUUGUAUCAUGUGGUUUAGGACAGCCUCAUUAUUUCCAAAUUGCAUACUGGUUUAACAAGGAAGUGCUCUCCGUUCAGGUUGAGUCUUGGGUUUAACCCAUCAUGGUCUGUGUACCAGAUAACUUUCAUCCUGCAACACAUACCUUGUGGCUACCUUACCUCCACAACCACUGAACUCUAUUAUAAAACUGCUGCUAAACUUCUGUUGCUUAACUCUGCCAUCUUUUCUAUUGAGCUGCUUUGAAGCUUUCUCAGGGGAUGAAACUUACCAAGAUAUUUUCAGAGAUUUCUCUCACAUGGCUUCAAAUGAUCCAGAGAAACUGAACCGGUUCCAGCAGUAUGACUCCCACAGGCUGUGAAACCUGGGAGGGUCGUGCAACAAGGAGAAAAGACCACAACAGCACGUGAAUCUUGUAUGCUGGAAAUGGGGAUUUCAGUGGCUUGGUAGUCAACUAAACAGUCACCUGCCUUAAAGUAUACACAGCUAACAAAACGAUUCCAUCACUUCGUAGACAUCACAUUUUCCUUUAUGAAAGAGGCACACAUUAUGUUAAACUGUGUACUUGAUUUGUAAAGGUUUUUUUUUUUUCAUAGCAUUUACAAGCUUUUCCAUGGGGUGCUUUCCAUUUGAAGGAAUGCAUCAGACACACUAUUUGCUACUGGGAGAUUGAGUCCUUGUAGGAAAAACAACUGUCAACUUAUUGUUGUAGUGUUUUUUUUUUUUUUUUAGGACUAACUGUUUCUGAGCACUUCUUUAUAUUUAAAAAAAACCAAAAAAACUCAAGCUAAGCUAGCCACAUUAGCAUGCAUUUGAGUACAAAUCAUUGCUUUUCCUGUGGCUGAUGUGUUUUCAAUGGUGACCUAAUUCCUUAAUGCAACUUUUGGAAGUACAGAAGUCUCUGCAAGGAGUGUUUCAUAAAUACUCUUCUCCAACAGCUUAAAAAAAAGCCAAAUUCUCCUAAACCAUAAUGUGUAAUUUUUAACCUGAGACCAAUGGCAUUAUAGCUAUAUAUUAGUUGAGAUUCACUGGAAUGGCCUUGUUAGCAUCAUUUACUUUAAAGGGUAAUCGACCUCACACCUAAUGGCAGAGUUUUGUUUUGAAUUGUGAAUUGCUGGAUUGAAAAGAGAGAGGAAACUCCUUGGGAUCCAUGCUGUAGGGUUAAUGCAGAUAUAAGGUCACACUGAAAUUCAGCCAGAACACUCUUCAGCAUGCAGAAGUUCAAGCCUGUACCUCGUCGUCUUUUUGGAAUUCGGAUGAUAUCUUGAUGUUGAUCCGCAGACUCUGCGAGUGUAUCGUUUACAAUAUCCAAAAUCCACAUCUCCUUUAAGAAACACACACACACCAUCAGCAUGCUCCCAGUCAAUUGUUUUAACAGGUGAUGACAGCUGCAUGCAUUAAAAGCUCAAGAUAAUAAUUGGUGUUUUAAAGAAUGUUUUGGUGGAUGGCCAGAUUAUUAGCUUGACUGUGAACCUGCCUGUAGAAUAGUUUAGCGUACACCAGAGGGACUGUACCCUUUUGCAUAUGUGCAGCUAUGGCCAUAGGUUUUGCAUCACCCUAUAGAAUUACUUCAUGUUGCUUCAUAAAGUCGAAUCAAACCUGUUUUAUAAGGUUAUAUUAACAUAUUGAAUUACAUACUGCUUUGUAGUUUUCCAUAUACCUAAUGAAAAACAGACAAAUUGAAAAAUGGGACAUUUCAGAUUCUAACAUGAAAUACUGUACUACUAUUAUGGCUUCCGGUAGACUUUUGUGAUAUCAUUUUGUGGUUUUUUUGAUUACAUGAUAAAUAAAAUAUCUAAAUUAAAUUCCUAUAGUUUUUUUUUUUUUUUUUUUUUUUAAUAGAUACAAUUCUGUCUCAAUCCUAAAUUUCUAGGUGAUGAAAAACUUUUGGCCAAAGCUGCACAAGCCUUGAAAAUAAAGAUGACAAGGUUUAUUCAUGGCCAGGUGUAAAAUAGCUGCAAAAGGUUUAAUUGUCCAAUGUACAGUCAAAGUGGAUUCAAAUGUUCCUUUAUUACGUCCUCCAUGGCAUUAAAUCUCUUCCUGUCCUGUAAGCCAUCCAAACUACAGUAACCUCAACAGUCGGAGCAGACAUUCCAACGGGCUUUAAAAAAAAAAAUUCCAAAUGUGAAAGGAGCACCUUCACAAAGCAUUCGUCCCAGUUCUAAGUUUGCUGAUAAAAUAAAUGAAAACUGCUUUUUGAUUUCUGGUGGAAACGGACCGUGGAAAGUUUAGAAAACAAAAUCUCACCCGCAUGCAAAGUCAAAUGGUGUGUCUGCAUGGUGCAUAUACUAGCUGUACAACACAUACAGUAUGUUAAUGAAUGCAUUUCUGCACUGCACUUACACCAAAAAAGUGUGUGAGCCUGGCCGAGGAUGUUCAUUUUGCAAAAUUCAUUCCCUCCAGCAGGGGGCAUCAGGUGGGAGAGUUGUGUACAAUUCAUUUCUUUGUGUUUAUUUUUGUGACUGUCCAUGUAACGUUUUAGUUUUUUGUAUUGUAUUGUAGUCGGUAAAUUGGAUUUUACCAGACUUUUGCCACUAUCGUCUGUUGGGUUUGUUUGUGCAUGCACAUCUUUCAGCUCAAUGCAACACCUGCAGUCUGUGUGUCUGUUAUUUCUUUUUUUUUUUUUUUUUUACCAAACGGGGGUGGUGUUGAGGGACCAAGAUGAUUCCUGAGUUGCAUUGAAAGUUGUAUACAAUUUGUAAACCGUUGAAUAUUACUUGUAAUAUAUAUAUUAUAUUACAAAAUGUCUUAUGAGGCGCCUGUAAAAGCUACACGUUCCCUGGAUGAGCUUCUCUUUUCAUUGAAUUAAUUUUGUUGUCACGGAGUUAAUGCAUAAGAUGGCAAGCAUUAAUUUUAACUGGUCCUGUUUCAACCUUGGUUCUGGUGUCAGUUUUGCAUAUCGCUUACUACACAUCCCACUUGUCAUGUAAUGGACAGUACACAAGAAAUAUAUGCAACCCAAGAGAACAGAACGAGUAAAACACCAAAGAGAUUGCCUUAUUAUCAUCAUUAUUAUUAUUAUUAUUAUUAUUAUAGUCACUUACAAUAGGACCUCGGUUUUGUCUCAUCUGAAGGACGGAUUUACUGUUUCAUAUGGUUUGUAAAGCUGCUGGAGAAUAUUUACAGAUUUAAAAAAAAAAAAAAAAAUCCAGGUUGUCUGCUACAAAAGCCUGUAUUUUGACAAUUUCCAUUUCAUGUUCACGGGGCAAGGUUAUUUACUUAUUUUUCCAUUAUCCUUGAUCACUAACCAUCUUCUACUGUGGUUCUGCAUGGGACCAUCACAAAUGACACAAGCUUUUAAAAUCUAUUUUCUAACACCUGCAAGGCUGCCUUGUUCUGACAUGAAGGUAUUACACUUCUAUGCUUUUGAGACCAGGCUCUUUUUUUUUUUUUUAUUACUGUGUAUCUGUACUAUCCGUAAUGCUAGUUGAUUGUGUGGAGCAUGGUAGCAAACUGCCUUACUGGUUGUGGAUUCAAAAAGUCUACACAUGCUGUAAGCAGCAGACUGCAAGACGGGAUCAACAGUACCUUUUUUAAAUGUUUAAAACAUGUUUGAGUGUUAGAAGCUAUUGUUAAGUUUUAAGUCAUUUAAAUUUUGUAUAGGUGUUAACUAAAAUUAAUCAAUACAAGACCUGAUUUAAAAAAAAACUUUUUAUUCAAUAAAGCUGCAGUGUCUCGCAAUCAUGUUCAGUGUCUUGCAAAAAAAGCUAAUUUCCACAACUCCAUUCUUGCGUGGUUUCACCUUCUACACAGACCUUGUUUACAAGCUAGUUCGGAUUGCCCCGAGUGAGAACAGAAUGUUCUUGCCACUUUGAGAACGAGCAGGUGGGCACUCGGGGGGGACCAUUCUGGUCAUCUUCACAUACUAUCCACCGACCAAAGGCUUUUGUAUUGGGUGGUAGAAUAUAGUACCUUGUACUUCUGCAGGGAUGGAAAUAAAACAUCCAUUGCAUAGCAGUUUAGUCCAUUCCUGGUUUUGCAAUAAGCUACACCUGAGCUUGUUACCUAUUCACUGUGGCUAAUCAAACUUAAAGUAAAACCUGGAAUGGGUGAAACUGCUAUGCAAUGGAUCCUUAUUUCCACCCAUGCUUCUGUGUAAUUGCAAACUUAUUGAGGCUGAAAUCAGAUGAAGCUCUGCAGACUCACAGACUGGAUGGUGUUCAGUCUUAUAUCCUUGUAUAACGUUUCUUAUAAAAAGGAAAGAAUUAUAUAUAAGGGCUCUGUGUAUUAACACUUUUUAUUCUGCUUUUAGGCGUAUUUAUAUAUAUAUUUCUUUUUUAGUGGUCUUCCAAUUAUACAUAAGGAGGUAUAUUAUGUUCUAUUUUACCUUGUGUAAAGUAUGUAAAUAUUGUACAUAUUCAUUACAAUAUGCCUAUAAAGACAUUGUUCACAAAAAUGAUAGUGGUACUGAAAUCAAUAAAUAAAAUACAUUUGGACUGGA